GACGAACGCUGGCGGCGUGCUUAACACAUGCAAGUCGAACGGAAAGGCCCUGCUUUUGUGGGGUGCUCGAUUGGCGAACGGGUGAGUAACACGUGAGUAACCUGCCCUUGACUUUGGGAUAACUUCAGGUAACUGGGGCUAAUACCGGAUAGGAGCUCCUGCUGCAUGGUGGGGGUUGGAAAGUUUCGGCGGUUGGGGAUGGACUCGCGGCCUAUUAGCUUGUUGGUGGGGUAGUGGCUUACCAAGGCUUUGACGGGUAGCCGGCCUGAGAGGGUGACCGGCCACAUUGUGACUGAGGUACGGCCCAGACUCCUACGUGAGGCAGCAGUGGGGAAUAUUGCACAAUGGGCGGAAGCCUAAUGCAGCAACGCCGCGUGCGGGAUGACGGCCUUCGGGUUGUAAACCGCUUUCGCCUGUGACGAAGCGUGAGUGACGGUAAUGGGUAAAGAAGCACCGGCUAACUACGUG
rnacentral:rRNA from 1 species